GACGAACGCUGGCGGCGUGCCUAAUACAUGCAAGUAGAACGCUGAAGAGAGGAGCUUGCUCUUCUUGGAUGAGUUGCGAACGGGUGAGUAACGCGUAGGUAACCUGCCUGGUAGCGGGGGAUAACUAUUGGAAACGAUAGCUAAUACCGCAUAAAAUGGAUUAUCGCAUGAUAAUCCAUUGAAAGGUGCAAAUGCAUCACUACCAGAUGGACCUGCGUUGGAUUAGCUAGUUGGUGAGGUAACGGCUCACCAAGGCGACGAUACAUAGCCGACCUUGGAGGGGUGACGGCCACAAUGGGACGGGGACACGGCCCAGGACCCUACGGGAGGCAGCAGGAGGGAAAUUUUGGGAAUGGACGGAAGGCUGACCGAGCAACGCCGCGGGAGUGAAGAAGGGUUUCGGAUCGGAAAGCUCUGUUUUAAGGGAAGAACGAUAGUGGGAGGGGAAAGUGCACACUGUGACGGUAUCUAACCAGAAAGCGACGGCUAACUACGUG
rnacentral:rRNA from 1 species